rnacentral:rRNA from 1 species
AGCGAACGCUGGCGGCAGGCUUAACACAUGCAAGUCGAGCGGGCCCUUCGGGGUCAGCGGCGGACGGGUGAGUAACGCGUGGGAACGUGCCUUCUGGUUCGGAAUAACUCAGGGAAACUUGAGCUAAUACCGGAUACGCCCUUUUGGGGAAAGGUUUACUGCCGGAAGAUCGGCCCGCGUCUGAUUAGCUAGUUGGUGGGGUAACGGCCCACCAAGGCGACGAUCAGUAGCUGGUCUGAGAGGAUGAUCAGCCACACUGGGACUGAGACACGGCCCAGACUCCUACGGGAGGCAGCAGUGGGGAAUAUUGGACAAUGGGCGCAAGCCUGAUCCAGCCAUGCCGCGUGAGUGAUGAAGGCCUUAGGGUUGUAAAGCUCUUUUAUCCGGGACGAUAAUGACGGUACCGGAGGAAUAAGCCCCGGCUAACUUCGUGCCAGCCGCCGCAGUAA